AUGGCAGAAGAACGAGCGACGUCGUCAUCCAUGGAACAACCACCAAUGCACAACCGGGCAGCACCCUGCAACCUACCACUUCGGCGUUCUCUCGGGCAACAACUACCUCAUGCAAUCCAUACUCCCAGCAGUCCGAACUACCAAGCCCCGCGCCCCUCACUCCUCCCUCCCUUGUCCGCCGCCACUCCCUCCCACCUCCUCCUCCUGUGCCCUAGGAGCCCCGCCACCGACUGCUACUCCUCCACCGCCUCGCCUCUUCCUCCUCCUCGCCUUCCCAUCGCUUGUCUUCAGGCCGCAGCGGUGGUUCCCGAUCUGAGCCGUCUUCAGGUACGUGGAGCGACGGAGGUCGGCUCCCUCCUUCUCCAAGGUCGCACGACGGGAGAGGACUCAGCCCCGAUGCUCUGCCUCUCCAUGUGUCUCCGCAAGCCAUCGUCUGAUGCCGUCGUUGCCCGCCAUCAUCUUUCUCGCUGCCUGCUUGCUAGAGAGCCAUGGCUUUCCUCGCUGUGGCUGAUGCUUAUGCGUUCAGUUAGGGUAAGGACGUGCAUCCCCUUCCAACAGAUCAAUUUCUCUCAUCGCUCUUCAAGCACUGAUUUGUUCUUCCCUUUCUCUUCUAAUUUUCUUGUUGUUCAUACAACCGCUGCUCGGUUUCUUGCUUCUGCCUCUUCCGUAUGCAUGUCCGCACCGUUUGUUCCAAGAGUGGUCGCGGGCUCAUUCCGGCGGCCGGCGCACGCAGCCGUGAGGGGUGGGGUGGAUGAGCAAGCGGCGUCGCCGCCGCUGCCUCGUGCCUGCGGGCGAGAAGAUGGCAUGCAUAUGUUGAUGUACCAAAUAUCAAGGCAUUGCUAUAGCAGCCAUUGCUUUUGCCUAGCUGCGAUUCCAUCUUGCAUUGAGAGUAUGAUGCUCUCAGCAAUUGGAACAAUCAACACCUUUCACAAGACUCUCCUUGGACCUUGGGUGAGGGUUACCAUUUUGGAAGGUAAAAUACUAAACCUUUGUAGGUGCAGAACUAAAAAUCUGCUCGAGAUAAAGUUGUGUUCUAGCCAUGUCUUUCUUCUGUUGAAAAGAAUACACCAUGCUUCAUUUGAUCACUUCUGGACGAUUCUUCAGUUUGAGAAACUCAAAAUUUCAGUAGCAAGCAUGCAUAUGUCGGCCAAUGAUGCAGGGUGCAUGUAUUUCAUUUGGUUGACAGUUCAUAGUCUGGCCGAGGAGCAAGUACCACCGAGGCCUUCAUCGAGCUCAAGAUGUGACAGGGAGAAGGAGCAGGCGUUGAGUUGUGCAAGCAGCAGGGGCAGAUUGUUUCUUUCUGAUUGGUUGAUCUUGUGGCUUGUUGUCCCUAGAGCAGUCGCACCCUUCCAAGAAAGAAUCUACACGGGCCAGGAGCUAAAGCGGGUCCUUUGGGAUAAUCGAGCACUUGAAUUUGAGGAAGAGGUAGUGUUUGGAAGGGAUGAGAGACAAGUGAUCAUUGCAAUUUUUGUGGGAACAUUGCCCAAGAUGGCGAAGUGCAGGAUCUGCCGCCACUAUUGGAGACACCUUGUCAAGCACCACGGCUACGCAGAUCGAAGCCGCUGUCACGUGCCGAAGAGUCACCAUCGCCAGCCAUCGGUUUCUUCUGCGGCAAUGGCUAAUCCAGCCCAACUUCAGGCGCGGGCCGGUCUCCGUCGACAAGCACCGUCUUCUGCCACAAGAACCGCCACCCAUUCCGAAUCCCAGCAGGACCACCCCCUGCUAUCCAAUACUGUGGAGAGCUUGAAAAAUACUGUCACUAGGGUCCACUACACCAAAGAAAAGCUGGAAGAGUACAUCAAACCAGAUGGUAACACACUCAAGGUCAGACUCGCAAACAUCAAUCUGCGCACCAAUUGUCGUAUCAUGCUGGGAACAGACAAGAGAGCCACAAUAACCACAAACUGGUCGGAGUUCCACCGCCGUGCAAACAUCCAUGAAGGACGUAUCUGCACCUUCCCUUUCAAGGUUACCGCAGAGCACCGCUUGGCUCUCAUCGUCCAUGUCCUCUAG
rnacentral:rRNA from 1 species